AAACGGCUUUAAAAACGUUGCUCCGGCUACGCCUUUUCAUUGACAUUCGUCUUACUCUCACGGAGGUGGAGGAAGAAGAAAGACUUCACCACCGCCGCCAAAUAUAGCGAUGAUCUUCUCCUUAGUUCCUUCUUCCCCUAUAAUCUGUUUCUCAAGGCCGGCAGCGGCUGCGAUCUCCACCUCUACGAGUUCCCUCUCUCAAUAUCAAUAUUCCUUGGAAUCCACAUUCAUCCGCCGCGCCGCUGAGAUCGCCGAUAAAUCAGCCGGAUUCACAGCUCCACAUCCCAACUAUGGCUGUAUUGUCGCUACUGCUUCCGGCGAUAUUGCCGGGGAGGGUUUCCUCUUUGGGCAGGGCACCAAAUCGGCUGAAGUUCAGGCUGUGGAAGAAGCCGGCGAAUACUGCCGUGGAGGUACAGCGUUUCUUAAUUUGGAGUCCAGUGAAUGCGCGGGCGACGACAUUGCUGUUUCGGCGUUGGUCCAGGCAGGGAUUAGAAGGGUAGUGGUUGGAAUGAGGCAUCCUUUACAACAUCUAAGAGGAAAUGCUGUGAGGGCUUUAAGAAAUCAAGGAGUUCAAGUUGAUGUUAUUGGGGAGGACUUGCAGAGUAGAGAGAUUGAGGAAGCUCAAAAAGCAUGCCUCCUUGUUAAUGCUCCAUUGAUUUGUAAAGCUGCUUCUCAAGUUCCUUUCUCUGUACUUAAAUAUGCCAUGACCCUUGAUGGAAAAAUUGCUACAACCACUGGUCAUUCGGCAUGGAUUAGUAGUGUUACAUCUCGACAUCGGGUUUCUGAAUUACGAGGAAGAAGCGAUGCUAUUAUAGUAGGAGGAAACACCAUAAGAAAGGAUGAUCCCAAACUAACUGCAAGACAUGGUGGCGGACAUACUCCUGUUCGUGUUGUGAUGUCAAGGACUCUUGAUCUUCCUGAAGAAGCAAAGGUUUGGGAUACAAGUAGUGUACCAACCAUGGUUUUGACACAAAGGGGGGCUACAAGAAGUUUCCAGAAACUUCUUGCAUCCAAAGGAGUUGAGGUUGUUGAGUUCAAUAAUCUAAACCCUCGAGAUGUAAUAGAAUAUUUUCACGAUCGAGGCUACCUUUCGGUUUUGUGGGAGUGUGGAGGAACACUUGCAGCUUCAACCAUUGCAUCUGGAAUAGUACAUAAGGUUUUUGCAUUUGUUGCUCCUAAGAUUAUUGGGGGAAGGAAUGCACCAUCUCCGGUUGGUGAACUUGGGAUGGUUGAGAUGACUCAAGCUUUGGAACUAAUUGACGUUCAAUAUGAGAAGGUUGAGGAGGACAUGAUGAUUAGUGGAUUUCUUCAACCUAUAUUAGAUGUUGCUCCAAUUAUCCCAUCACGAGAUGAAACCUUAGCAGUCGACCCAACAGUUGUUCCCUACGAACCGAGUAUCAUAUCCUUUUACAAUACAUGGGAUAAUUAUGGUGCUCUUUCAAACUUUUCACCUCACUCGAUUCAUAUCGUUGAUGAAAUUGGUGAUUAUAGCACUUGGAUGACUGUUGAGCACUAUUAUCAGGCACACAAAUUUGUUGGGGUUGAUGAUCCUGCUGCUCAAGAAUGUGUGGAGAAAAUAAAAUCAGCGAGUAGUCCUGAGGAAGCGACAAGGAUUGCAAGGUUACUGCAGAAGCAACAUCCUGAUUUGGGGAGGAAACCACUAGGAUACAUGGAGAGCGUUAUCCUACCAUCAAAAUUAUUCCCAUCACUAUUGGUAGGUUGUGUGUCAAUCAAAUUCAAUUUGUAGAACACGUGCGAGCUCAAAGAUGCACGAGGUGUGGAAAUUAGGACAAAAUAGCAAAACAUGCACGGAGCCAUUGUCAAGCAAUGUAAAUAGAAACCAACGGUGACAAAGGUAUUUUUUUGUUAACAUACCAAAAUAGUGAGGUGGUGGACAAUUGAUCGAGUUGAUAAUGAGAGAAAUAAUUGAAACUUAGAUCGCGUCGUGCUUGGCCUUGAAAUCAGGUUUGGGUUGACCCACAUUUGGCUAAAAGGUGAGAUCUGAUUGGGAAACUGCCAAGUUUGAUGUUAUGUACAAAGCACUCAAAUGCAAAUUUUCAAGUUAUUCUAUUCUGAAAUCC